rnacentral:tRNA from 1 species
GCACUAGUAGCUCAAUGGAUAGAGCAAUUCCGUCCUAAGGAAAAGGUUGGGGGUUCGACUCCCUCCUAGUGCACCA